rnacentral:rRNA from 1 species
CUACGGGACGCUGCAGUGAGGAAUAUUGCACAAUGGGGGGAACCCUGAUGCAGCAACGCCGCGUGGAGGAUGACGCAUUUCGGUGUGUAAACUCCUUUUAUAUGUCAAGAAAAUGACGGUAGCAUAUGAAUAAGCACCGGCUAACUCCGUGCCAGCAGCCGCGGUAAUACGGCGGGUGCAAGCGUUACUCGGAAUCACUGGGCGUAAAGGACGCGUAGGCGGGUUGGAAAGUCAGGUGUGAAAUCCUACAGCUUAACUGUAGAACUGCACUUGAAACUUCUAAUCUAGAGUAUGGGAGGGGGAGAUGGAAUUAGUGGUGUAGGGGUAAAAUCCGUAGAUAUCACUAGGAAUACCUAAAGCGAAGGCGAUCUCCUGGAACAUUACUGACGCUAAGGCGUGAAAGCGUGGGGAGCAAACAGGAUUAGAUACCCGCGUAGUC